GAACGCCCACCUCUGCCUGCAUGCCGCGUGCGCCCCAGGUUGCACCCCUCCUCUCGAGUGGUCCCCGUACGUGGAUGCAUGGGCGACGCGCUGCCCCGCGGAUGUCUGCAGACCUGCCACCCCCGGUUAAGAGGACCAUGCACUCAACAAACAUUUGUGAGGCCUACUGUGGGAAGGCCACGAGACAGCUGGAGCAGUUAUGAUGAGUGUGAUGAGCGCCGUUAAAGGCCCGCCCCGGCUUAUCUACCUAAGGCCAGGCCUGGCAGUGCGGCUACCAUCCAUCUCGAGGUGGCUCCCACACUUGCCGGCUGGCUUCUUCCCCUUCUCCCAGCAGAUGCCCGGGACGCCCUUCCUCCCUAUCACUCGCCACUGGGGUAGCUGUGAAUUAGGCCCCUUCUUUCUCCCAUCACAGUGAUGAUGCUGAUGACGUUUGCGCACAGCUGGACGGCCUUUUGCAAGGGCACAACCAACCUCCCAGCCUGUGUACACUGGCACUAGGAUCUGACAGUGAAAAGAAUGGCUCUGUGUAUGCCCUCCUGGUGCUUAUUUUAGCAAGGAGUUACAUGUGGGGCAGUGUGGAGGGCGGACUGGAAGCAGUUUGAAGAUGGCGAGAGGCCCAGCUGGGCACCAUGAUGGCUUACACUUCGAUAGUGACCGUGCGUGGAGAGCAAGAAGUGAAUUCCUCAUGUUUGGCCUUUUUGGAGAGAACUUUGGCAGUCUCGACUACAAAUGGACAAAUACCCUCAGAAUCAAUAAAUCUACUUGAAUGUCGUGGUUCAUUAACAUCAGACUGGUUACAUGAAUACACAAGGAUGACUCGUGAAACGCUAUGCAGCAGUUAAAAAGAAAGAAGUAGAGCCAAAUGUAUUGUCAUAGAAAGAUUUCCAAGACAUUAGGUGGAAAAAGCAAGUUGCUGGAUAAUACGUACACUUUUACCCCAUUUCUGUAAAAACUAAAUAAAACAAUACAUUUCUAUAUGUAAAUGUAUAGAAAC
rnacentral:lncRNA from 1 species